UACGGUGGGUUUUAUUUUAUUAUUGGUAGGACAUCCACCUGACACAGAAGAGCAUAUGUUAUAAGCAGAGAGGACAGCAGGAUGAGACGUCAGAAGACGAACAAUACCCAGCAAACUACUGAUCAGCUGGAGAAAGAAGAGGAUUACUUCAUUUAGUGAAUUCACAAUAAUGUUAACAUCAAAAACAGAACUGAA